rnacentral:piRNA from 1 species
AUGAAUGAAAGAAAGAGCCUUU